GCUAGUAAUCGCGGAUCAGAAUGCCGCGGUGAAUACGUUCCCGGGUCUUGUACACACCGCCCGUCACACCAUGGGAGCCGGAAAUGCCCGAAGUCAGUGACCCAACCGCAAGGAGGGAGCUGCCGAAGGUGGAGCUGGUAACUGGGGUGAAGUCGUAACAAGGUAUC
rnacentral:rRNA from 1 species